UCUCGCAGGCGGGGAGCGGAGGAGGCGGCUCUGCCCGGCGAGCCCCGGCGGCGGCUGCCGCUUCCUGGCAGCUGGCGAAGGGAGCAGGCAGCCCCGAGCGGGCGGGUUUCGGCCCGGGCCCUGCCCGGCUGCAGAUCUCUGGACCAUCCCUCAACUGCAGACAGGUCUUCCCAGUGCAAUCUGUGGAUGCUCUGAAGUGGAUUUUGAUGCCAGACAUCUGUGCUGCUCGCGUGCACCCAGGAAACGCUCCGUACACCACGGCAGAACUCAGAGGGGGAUUAUGCAUGCCUGAUGCUGAUGACUGGUAGCAACUCCUGAAGCCUUGAACGCUGCAUAGCAUCAGAGGCUGACACUGUCAGUGCUUUCUUCACUGCAGGGAGCUCUAUCAGAAGAAAAUAUGCUACAAGAAAAGAUUGAUGAAUGAAAUGCUGAAAAUCCUAAAAAGAAGUCUAACUUGGGGAAAAUGACUGUCCUGGUUUUCAAAGAAAUAUUGGGGGAAACACCUGAAAGUUGAUUCAUUUUUCAUCCCAAACUUUGAAUUAUAAGAAAAUCUAACUUUCUACAAGGAAGAGAAAGAAUAUGAAGGGUUAACACCCUAGAAAUUCAGACUGAAAUCCUAAUAAAUGAACUCAGCUGUCAGAGGUACAAACUGCUUCAAAGUGACUGUUUUUAAACAAGAGUAGAUAUUUGCUGCAUGCUUCCUGAAAUACAUCUAAAAAUGCAUCAAUAUGUAUCCUGUGCAUACAUUUACGAUUUAAUUAGAUCAAUGAAUUGAUACGUCAUGUGGCCAUGAGCCCCCAGGUAUUGUACACUAACGGAGACUCCUCAGAUUGCCCUUUCUCCAUUCACCCGCAUCCACCCAGCAGACAUGAGACGGGCCAGCUGCACAAGGAAACGCUGUGCUUCUCUUCUGGGUUAGAGGAAUAGCCUACUGACAGCUUUCACAAAGGAGCAUAAUGUAAAAUAACCAGAAGACAGCUCCUUUGUACGAGAUGUUGAUAAGGCACUUGAGCAUGCCCAGGAGUCCUGUCCAAGGGUGGGCAGGUUGUGCUCUGUCUCUCCGGGGCUUCGGGGUACCAGCCUGGGCUCAUCCAUGUCACCUGAUUUAAAAAUCCCUCUCUUAAGCUUUAGGAAAUCUUGACUUUCUCUAGAGAAGCUUCAUCCACGGUUAAUGUUUCCCAUUUAUUGUAGGACGGGAUGAAUCACGGCUUGGAAGUGUCCAUCCCUCUCCUUUGAGUACAGAGUUCACCUAGGUGAAAAACAUGAAGUAACUUAAACUCUAGACAGUGAAGCGAGGGUAGGUGGGUCUCAGCAUGGGCACAUCCCCGUUGCUCUCCACAUCAUCGCUAACAGCAGCACUCAGGCUCUCCAGGAGGGACCUGGGCAAUGGCUCGUACUCGCCUCAAGGCCUCCAGCAUGUCUGUGAACAAAAAGCCCUAUAUGAAGACUAAACUAAGUCACUUUAUUAGACGUUAGAAUCUGACCUGAUUUUCUGGCAUAUGUCUCCUUCGUCCAGCCCGUGUUAUGAGUCACAAACUAAGCCCGAAAGUUACUAAAACCGUUUCACGUACAAUCAAGUUGCCUGUUUUGCAGCAUACUAUGCUUUGGGGCUUGGCAAAGGGAAGCGUCUCAGUCGCAGGCAGCACAGGAAUUAUGCUGAGCUUUUCCCAGCUGGACUUCUUGUAAUCAUCGCAGGGAUAAAGAGUUCCUCGAGACUCACGAUCUCUGCCUGUCAGACUCUAAGCCUGUUCCCAGGUCUGUUGAGCUUGUCAGGGUUUUUAUUUACAAGUUUCAGCUAAAAAUCUGUCCUGUUAGACUAAGCCAGGCUGUUUCUACUUUUUCCUUAAUCUCCCGGCUGCCUCCCUCCACACGUUAAGGGACACUUAGUUUGUUUAAGGCCUGAGGCAGGCAUAAUUACAAAAUUUAGGCAGAAUCCUGAACUGACCCCAAAGGUCUUCUUACUCAGACAGAAAUCAUUUGUCAUAAUGAGCCUACUCGUAACCCGCUGACCCCCGGAGCUCAAUUAAUUUCACGCAGAAACGGUGUUUGCAGCCUCUGGACCCUGCUGCUGGAGGGAUUUGCACAGUGCAGCAGGAAGUCCUCCACUCAUCCAAGCUGAUGUGGGGAAACGGACUUAGACAUUUCUGUGGACAGAACAACGAACAGUGAUGGGGCAUUGCUCGUAAAGCAGGAUGGUAAAAUGCUGCAUUUUUGUGUUCCACUGUGUAUGAAUAAAUGUGUGUUCCUCAGAAUAAUAAUUAUAUAUGAAUAAAGGCAUAUAAGAGCUUGUA